rnacentral:rRNA from 1 species
GAUGAACGCUGGCGGCGUGCCUAAUACAUGCAAGUCGAGCGAACAGACGAGGAGCUUGCUCCUCUGACGUUAGCGGCGGACGGGUGAGUAACACGUGGAUAACCUACCUUUAAGACUGGGAUAACUUCGGGAAACCGGAGCUAAUACCGUAUAACAUGUUGAACCGCAUGGUUCAACAGUGAAAGACGGUCUUGCUGUCACUUAUAGAUGGAUCCGCGCCGCAUUAGCUAGUUGGUAAGGUAACGGCUUACCAAGGCAACGAUGCGUAGCCGACCUGAGAGGGUGAUCGGCCACACUGGAACUGAGACACGGUCCAGACUCCUACGGGAGGCAGCAGUAGGGAAUCUUCCGCAAUGGGCGAAAGCCUGACGGAGCAACGCCGCGUGAGUGAAGAAGGUCUUCGGAUCGUAAAACUCUGUUAUUAGGGAAGAACAAAUGUGUAAGUAACUAUGCACGUCUUGACGGUACCUAAUCAGAAAGCCACGGCUAACUACGUG